GGAAUAUAAGAAACCGUCUCUUAACUUUUAACUAAAAAAGCUAAGAACCGAUUCUUAAAUAAGGUAUUUAAGAGCCAGUUCUUAGUUUUUUUAGUUAAAAGUUAAGAGACGGUGACUUAUAUUCU
rfam:Brassica napus, WGS project CCCW01000000 data, contig: 5948